rnacentral:rRNA from 1 species
UGGGUAAUCCACCUCUGGGUGGGGAAUAACCCUGGGAAACCGGGGCUAAUACCGCAUAACACUGAAAGGUCAAAGGCGCAAGUCGCCCGGAGAGGAGCCCGCGGCUGAUUAGCUAGUUGGUGAGGUAAAGGCUCACCAAGGCAUUGAUCGGUAGCCGGCCUGAGAGGGCACACGGCCACACUGGCACUGAAACACGGGCCAGACUCCUACGGGAGGCAG